rnacentral:rRNA from 1 species
CCGUAGUUAGAUAUCAAUUGGUUUGAAAGCAACCUGCAAAGGAUGCAACUUAAACCUUUAACUUGUUACCUUGAGAAAAUGGAGGCGCCUAAGGCACGCGAUAUGUGUGAACUAUCUAGCAUGGAAUAGCACAUUUAAACUGUCAAUAAACAUGCCGAAUGUUUGUUGAUUAGGAUGAUUGAUAAGGGCAGUCGGGGACACUUGUACUUGCUGGAGAGAGGUGAAAUUCUGAGACCCGGCAAAGACACUCAAAUGCGAAAGCUUUUGUCCAGAAUGUUCCUGUUAAUCAAGGACUAAAGUUGGGGGAUCGAAGACGAUUAGAUACCGUCGUAGUCCCAACCGUAAACCAUGCCGACUGAUCGUUGGUUAGAAGUCUGUAUUCUUUUCAGCGUUCGAAAGAAAUUGAAGUUUUUGGGCCCUGGGGGGAGUAUGGUUGCAAGACUGAAACUUAAAGGAAUUGACGGAAGGGCACCACCAGGAGUGGAGCUUGCGGCUUAAUUCGACUCAACGCGUGAAAUUUUACCAGGUCCGGACAUAGUUAUGAUUGACAAACUAAAAGAUUUUUCUAAAUUCUAUGGGUGGUGGUGCAUGGCCGUUCUUAGUCGGUGAGGUGACUUGUCUGGUUUAUUCCGAUAACGGACGAGACCUUGACCUUUAAUUCUCGACUGUUAUCUUAAAUGGAAGAGUCUUAAAGGGACUCAAUGUUCCAAACAUUGGGAAGAUCAAGGCAAUAACAGGUCUGUGAUGCCCUUAGAUAACCUGGGCUGCACGUGUGCUACAAUAACAUGCACAACGAGUACCAAUAUCGAAACGAUGUUGUGAAUCUUCAAAGCGUGUUAAGGU